UACGGGGGGGGCAAGCGUUGUUCGGAAUUACUGGGCGUAAAGGGUUUGUAGGUGGCUUGCUAAGUCAGACGUGAAAUCCCUCAGCUUAACUGGGGAACUGCGUCUGAGACUGGCAAGCUCGAGUGCAGGAGAGGAACGCGGAAUUCCAGGUGUAGCGGUGAAAUGCGUAGAUAUCAGGAGGAACACCAAUGGCGAAGGCAGCUCGCUGGGACGGUACUGACGCUGAGGCGCGAAAGCGUGGGGAGCAAACAGG
rnacentral:rRNA from 1 species